CCGCAUGUCACGCCACAUGCCACACCGCAUGCCACGCCACACACACCGCUGCCGCCCAAGUACACGCCGCACAUAUUCGAAGAGGUAAGCCACAGCCGCUAUAGGAAUCUGGAGUUUUUCAAAGAGAUAGACCCGAUGAAGGUGGGUCGUUCCCUGGGCGCCUCGAUACUG